rnacentral:rRNA from 1 species
ACCGUGGCUCAGUUCAGAUCGUAGGCUGCAACUCGCCUACGUGUAGGAGGAAUCGCUAGUAAUCGCAGGUCAGCAUACUGCGGUGAAUACGUUCCCGGGCCUUGUACACACCGCCCGUCACACCAUGGAAGUUGGCCACGCCCGAAGCCGUUACUCCAACCCUUGUGGAGGAGGACGUCGAAGGUGGGGCUGAUGACUGGGGUGAAGAUGCGUAACAAGGUAGCCGUACCGGAAGGUGCGGCUGGAUCACCUCCUAA